rnacentral:rRNA from 1 species
UACGGGGGGGGCGAGCGUUGUUCGGAAUUACUGGGCGUAAAGGGUUUGUAGGUGGUCUGCUAAGUCAGACGUGAAAUCCCUCGGCUUAACCGGGGAACUGCGUCUGAUACUGGAUGGCUUGAGAUUGGGAGAGGGAUGCGGAAUUCCAGGUGUAGCGGUGAAAUGCGUAGAUAUCUGGAGGAACACCGGUGGCGAAGGCGGCAUCCUGGACCAACACUGACGCUGAGGAGCGAAAGCCAGGGGAGCAAACGGG